rnacentral:rRNA from 1 species
CCUACGGGAGGCUGCAGUGGGGGAUAUUGCACAAUGGGGGAAACCCUGAUGCAGCGACGCCGCGUGGGUGAAGAAGUAUUUCGGUAUGUAAAGCCCUAUCAGCAGGGAAGAAAGAAGACGGUACCUGACUAAGAAGCCCCGGCUAACUACGUGCCAGCAGCCGCGGUAAUACGUAGGGGGCGAGCGUUAUCCGGAUUCACUGGGUGUAAAGGGAGCGUAGACGGCCGUGCAAGCCAGGAGUGAAAGCCCGGGGCCCAACCCCGGGACUGCGCUUGGGACUGGGCGGCUGGAGUGCGGGAGGGGCAGGCGGAAUUCCGGGUGUAGCGGUGAAAUGCGUAGAUAACAGGAGGAACGCCGGCGGCGAAGGCGGCCUGCUGGACCGCGACUGACGUUGAGGCUCGAAAGCGUGGGGAGCGAACAGGAUUAGAUACCCUUGUAGUC